rnacentral:pre_miRNA from 2 species
AUGUCCUUUAUGUUUGCAACCUAUAACAGGCGGUGUCCUUUCUGGUUUUAUGAGAAAGGACACCGCCUGUUAUAGGUUGCAAACAUAAAGGACAC